UGAGUAACCUGCCCUUAACUCUGGGAUAAGCCUGGGAAACUGGGUCUAAUACCGGAUAUGACUCCUCAUCGCAUGGUGGGGGGUGGAAAGCUUUAUUGUGGUUUUGGAUGGACUCGCGGCCUAUCAGCUAGUUGGUUGGGGUAAUGGCCCACCAAGGCGACGACGGGUAGCCGGCCUGAGAGGGUGACCGGCCACACUGGGACUGAGACACGGCCCAGACUCCUACGGGAGGCAG
rnacentral:rRNA from 1 species